rnacentral:rRNA from 1 species
UUGCUUGCAAUCCGCUGACGACCGGCGCACGGGUGCGUAACGCGUAUGCAACCUACCUUCUACAGGGGGAUAGUCAAUAGAAAUGUUGAAUAAUACCCCAUACGAUCUUUGAAUAGCAUUAUUUAAAGAAGAAAGCUCCGGCGGUAGAAGAUGGGCAUGCGUCCUAUUAGUUAGUUGGUAAGGUAACGGCUUACCAAGACUUCGAUAGGUAGGGGUCCUGAGAGGGAGACCCCCCACACUGGUACUGAGACACGGACCAGACUCCUACGGGAGGCAGCAGCGAGGAAUAUUGGACAAUGGAGGCAACUCUGAUCCAGCCAUGCCGCGUGCAGGAAGACUGCCCUAUGGGUUGUAAACUGCUUUUAUACAGGAAGAAAUAUACCUACGUGUAGGUAUUUGACGGUACUGUACGAAUAAGGAUCGGCUAACUCCGUGCCAGCAGCCGCGGUAAUACGGAGGAUCCAAGCGUUAUCCGGAAUCAUUGGGUUUAAAGGGUCCGUAGGCGGUCUUUUAAGUCAGAGGUGAAAUCCUACAGCUCAACUGU